CUGAGUUGAAAAACUCCCAACCCCUGUGAACAUAACCUCUGUCGUUGCUUCGGCGGGCACGCCCGCCGGAGGUUCAAAACUCUUAUUUUUUUCAGUAUCUCUGAGCCUAAAAGACAAAUAAUCAAAACUUUCAACAACGGAUCUCUUGGUUCUGGCAUCGAUGAAGAACGCAGCGAAAUGCGAUAAGUAAUGUGAAUUGCAGAAUUCAGUGAAUCAUCGAAUCUUUGAACGCACAUUGCGCCCGCCGGUAUUCCGGCGGGCAUGCCUGUUCGAGCGUCAUUUCAACCCUCAAGCCUCGGCUUGGUGUUGGGGCGCCCGGGCCCUCCGCGGCCCGGGGCCCCCAAGUUCAUCGGCGGGCUCGUCGGUACACUGAGCGCAGUAAAACGCGGUAAAACGCGAACCUCGUUCGGAUCGUCCCGGCGUGCUCCAGCCGCUAAACCCCCAAUUUUUUAAA
rnacentral:misc_RNA from 1 species